rnacentral:rRNA from 1 species
CCUACGGGGCGCAGCAGUGAGGAAUAUUGGUCAAUGGACGAGAGUCUGAACCAGCCAAGUAGCGUGAAGGAUGACUGCCCUAUGGGUUGUAAACUUCUUUUAUAUGGGAAUAAAACGUUCCACGUGUGGGAUUUUGUAUGUACCAUAUGAAUAAGGACCGGCUAAUUCCGUGCCAGCAGCCGCGGUAAUACGGAAGGUCCGGGCGUUAUCCGGAUUUAUUGGGUUUAAAGGGAGCGUAGGCCGGCUUUUAAGUCAGCUGUGAAAGUCCGCGGCUCAACCGUGGAAUUGCAGUUGAAACUGGAGGC